GAGCUGGAAGUUCCAGCCCUCCUCUCAUUGUCUCUGAGGAUUGUUGCAAAAAUGACUUUUAUUUUUCUUAAAACCUAUAGAUGAGUGAGACUAUUCUGCAUUUCUCUCUCCCUCUGACUUAUUUCACUCAGCAUGGUAGAUUCCAUGUCCACCCAUGUAUAGGAAAAUUUCAUGACUUCAUCUCUCCUGACAGCUGCAUAAUAUUCCAUUGUGUAUAUGUACCACAGUUUCUUUAGCCAUUCAUCUGUUGAAGGGCAUCUUGGUUGUUUUCAGAGCCUGGCUAUUGUGAAUAGUGCUGCAAUAAAUAUAGGUGUGAGGAAGGGGUUUUUGUAUUGUAUUCUUGUGUUCUUAGGGUAUAUCCCUAGGAGUGGAAUAGCUGGGUCAAAUGGGAGCUCAAUUUCCAGAUUUUGGAGGAAUCUCCGUAUUGCUUUCCAUAGAGGCUGGACUAGACGGCAUUCCCAACCACAGUGAAAAAGAGUUCCUUU